rnacentral:rRNA from 1 species
UACAGAGGCCCCAAGCGUUAGGCGGAAUCACUGGGCUUAAAGCGUGUGUAGGCGGGAUGGUAAGUACUUUGUGAAAUCCCACGGCUUAACUGUGGAACUGCUUAGUAUACUGCCGUUCUUGAGUCAUUUAGGGGCAGCCGGAACAGAUGGUGGAGCGGUGAAAUGCGCAGAUAUCGGGAAGAACACCCGUGGCGAAGGCGGCUCUCUGGGACGGUACUGACGCUGAGACGCGAAAGCGUGGGGAGCGAACAGG